rnacentral:ribozyme from 14 species
CAACAUCCUCUUGUUUCACAAAAGCAAAACAAAGAAAAAGAAGAAAGAAAAAAAAAUGAAACUUGCUAUUGCAUCCGUCC